rnacentral:rRNA from 1 species
AACGUACGCUGGCGGCACGCCUAACACAUGCAAGUCGAACGAAGUAGCAAUACUUAGUGGCAGACGGGUGAGUAACAUGUAGGUAUCUGCCCUUUGGCCUGGAAUAACACGAGGAAACUUGUGCUAAUACCGGAUAAGUCUUUACGGAGAAAGCUUUAUGCACCAUUGGAUGAGCCUGCACUUGAUUAGUUUGUUGGCGGGGUAAUGGCCUACCAAGACUGUGAUCAAUAGCUGAUUUGAGAGGAUGAUCAGCCACAUUGGGACUGAGACACGGCCCAAACUCCUACGGGAGGCAGCAGUGGGGAAUCUUGCACAAUGGAGGAAACUCUGAUGCAGCGAUGCCGCGUGAGUGAAGAAGGCCCUUGGGUUGUAAAGCUCUUUCGUCGGGGAAGAAAAUGACUGUACCCGAAUAAGAAGUCCGGCUAA